CUGCAAGCUCUCCUCUUGCGCUAUACCACACAGGAGUGCAUUACACGAGCUGAUUAGCUGAAGGUGGGUUGGCAUGGCGAGGUUUGCUGCCCUCGCCGUGUGCGCCGCCGCGCUCCUGCUCGCCGUGGCGGUGGGCGGCGCCGCGGCACAGGGCGUGGGCUCGGUUAUCACGCGGUCGGUGUACGCGAGCAUGCUGCCCAACCGCGACAACCCGCAGUGCCCGGCCAGGGGGUUCUACACGUACGAUGCCUUCAUCGCCGCCGCCAACACCUUCCCGGGUUUCGGCACCACCGGCAGCUCGGACGACAUCAAGCGCGAGCUCGCUGCCUUCUUCGGCCAGACCUCACACGAGACCACCGGAGGGACGAGAGGCGCCGCCGACCAGUUCCAAUGAGGCUACUGCUUCAAGGAAGAGAUAAGCAAGGCCACGUCUCCACCCUACUAUGGACGGGGACCCAUCCAAUUGACAGGGUAAGCAAAAUCCCAAAUUGUGGCCUAUAUGACAAUCUCUAUAGCAUCUUCCACAUGAAAAACAGUAUAUUGGUCAACACUGAUAUCACAGACUGAAAUAAUCUGUAGAAAAAAAUCUGCUUGAAAAGUACUGCUGUGUUGACAUUCUAGCUAGCCGCUAAUCACGACCUGAUCCAAAUAAGCUUUUGUUUUCGCGUGUAAUAAUUGUUAAUAACAACAAAAACCCAGUUGGGUUGCUUUGCCGAAGAGAUUGUUCUCGAUGAACAAAUAAUUCCUUGUGCCAAUGACCAGGCGGUCCAACUACGAUCUCGCCGGGAGAGCCAUCGGGAAGGACCUGGUGAGCAACCCGGACCUGGUGUCCACGGACGCGGUGGUGUCCUUCAGGACGGCCAUGUGGUUCUGGAUGACGGCGCAGGGCAACAAGCCGUCGAGCCACAACGUCGCCCUACGCCGCUGGACGCCAACGGCCGCCGACACCGCUGCCGGUCGGGUGCCCGGGUACGGCGUAAUCACCAACAUCAUCAACGGUGGGCUCGAGUGCGGCAUGGGCCGGAACGACGCCAACGUCGACCGUAUCGGUUACUACACGCGCUACUGCAGCAUGCUCGGCACGUCCACCGGGGGCAACCUCGACUGCUACACCCAGAGGAACUUCGGUAGCUAGAAGUUGCUUGCCUGAUAUAUGCAGGUCCAGCGGCCAUCACAGUGUAUGCACUCGUUACGAAUAAAUGGCAAUACAUAUGCCGUCGUGGAAUAAAGGAUUCGACAGCUGAUCUGGUUGAUGGUGCCGUGUGUAAUACGAAUAAGUUGCUGUAAUAGAUUAUGUAAACUGUCCAAUAAAAAGAUGAAGAGAUUAUGUCAAUUGUUUUGUUUUGUUCUACACAAAACGAAUGUACAACAGGCCAAUCGGUGUGAUAGCUAUUGUUGCCUGUCCAAACCAUUC
rnacentral:rRNA from 1 species